rnacentral:lncRNA from 10 species
AGGUUCAUGUGAUUCUCCUGCCUCAGCCUCCCAAGUAGCUGGGAUCACAGGCAUACGCCGCCACGCCCAGCUAAUUUUGUAUUUUUAGUACAGAUGGGGUUUUACCAUGUUGCCCAGGCUCAUCUCGAACUCCUGACUUCAGGUGAUCCACCCACCUUGGCCUCCCAAAGUGCUGGGAUUACGGGUGUGAGCCACCAUGCCUGGCCAUAUCAUAGCUUUUUUUGCCUCACAAAUUAUUUUUACAGUUAGAGAACGCUUAGUCGCAUCCAACAUACUUUAUU